rnacentral:misc_RNA from 1 species
UAUUAUAUCAGAUUAGAUGAAAGGGUUAAAUUAGUAGCAGUAUUUAUUUAUUUCAGCUUGCACGAAGAAACGGGAUCCGUUCUACACAUGGUUGAACUAGUGUAGUUACAGCGAGUAGAUGUACUUACUCCAGUAUACGUUUCCAGUGAUACGACGAAGAAUCCACUAGCGGUCAGGCAACAUGAAACGACCAUAAGCUUUUGUAGGCGGCAUUAGCUACGUUCGUACUGUCUCGUAUCAGACAAUCGCAACUGUAGGUGAACAUCAGCAGUUGACACAUGCAACCCGUUAUAUGAAAUAGGAAAAUAAGGCG